rnacentral:rRNA from 1 species
UCUUCGGAUGAAAGUUUGGUGACUGAGUGGCGGACGGGUGAGUAACGCGUGGGUAACCUGCCCUGUACAGGGGGAUAACAGCUGGAAACGGCUGCUAAUACCGCAUAAGCGCACGAGGAGACAUCUCCUUGUGUGAAAAACUCCGGUGGUACAGGAUGGGCCCGCGUCUGAUUAGCUGGUUGGCAGGGUAACGGCCUACCAAGGCAACGAUCAGUAGCCGGUCUGAGAGGAUGAACGGCCACAUUGGAACUGAGACACGGUCCAAACUCCUACGGGAGGCAGCAGUGGGGAAUAUUGCACAAUGGGGGAAACCCUGAUGCAGCAACGCCGCGUGAGUGAAGAAGUAUUUCGGUAUGUAAAGCUCUAUCAGCAGGGAAGAUAAUGACGGUACCUGACUAAGAAGCUCCGGCUAAAUACGUGCCAGCAGCCGCGGUAAUACGUAUGGAGCAAGCGUUAUCCGGAUUUACUGGGUGUAAAGGGUGCGUAGGUGGCAGUGCAAGUCAGAUGUGAAAGGCCGGGGCUCAACCCCGGAGCUGCAUUUGAAACUGCAUAGCUAGAGUACAGGAGAGGCAGGCGGAAUUCCUAGUGUAGCGGUGAAAUGCGUAGAUAUUAGGAGGAACACCAGUGGCGAAGGCGGCCUGCUGGACUGUUACUGACACUGG